UAGGGAAUCUUCGGCAAUGGGGGCAACCCUGACCGAGCAACGCCGCGUGAGUGAAGAAGGUUUUCGGAUCGUAAAGCUCUGUUGUAAGAGAAGAACGGAUGUGGGAGUGGAAAAUCCAUGUCGUGACGGUAUCUUACCAGAAAGGGACGGCUAACUACGUGCCAGCAGCCGCGGUAAUACGGAAGGUCCGGGCGUUAUCCGGAUUUAUUGGGUUUAAAGGGAGCGCAGGCGGAGGAUCAAGCCAGCCGUCAAAUAGCGGUGCUCAACACCGUCCAGCGGUUGGAACUGGUUCCCUUGAUUGCGGGAGAAGAAGGCGGAACUCGUGGUGUAGCGGUGAAAUGCAUAGAUAUCACGAAGAACUCCGAUUGCGAAGGCAGCCUUCCGGCCCGCCAAUGACGCUCAUGCUCGAAGGCGCGGGUAUCAAACAGGAUUAGAUACCCUGGUAGU
rnacentral:rRNA from 1 species